ensembl:lncRNA
GGCCGGGAAAGGAGAUCCUCCACCCAGGGACCACCGACCACCCACUGGGAGGUAAGCCGGCCGGCGUCUGUCUGUCUGUCUGUCUGAUUUUGUCUCGUUCUGCCUUAUUCUGUCUGUUCUGUGAGCGCUCAGCCAGGUUGUUUGGAAUUUGGGCGGGACGAAGAAGGAGCUGACGAGCUCGGACUUCUCGCCCCGCAGCCCUGGAAGACGUUCCAAGGGUGUUGGGGCCCGACUUUUCGGGGCCCAAUCUGGGAGAGGAGAAAGAUCCGGACUAACGGCACUCUGUCUGUAUUUUUGGCUUUCAGAGGGCCCCGGACCUUUGCCACCUCCAUCUGACUUUUUGCUUUCAGUUUGGUACCAAAGCCGUGCAGCACGCCUGUCUGUUGUUUGUUUGACUGUUGGUGUUGUUUGUUUUCUCUGUGUUCUAAUCUUCCUUAGAACUAACAUGGGACAGUCCCUAACAAUGCCCCUAAGUCUCACUCUUGAUCAUUAGAAAGACGUCCACGACCGGGCACACAACCAGUCCGUCGAGGUUAAAAAAGGAAAAUGACAGACUCUCUACACAUCCGAGUGGCCCACUUUCGGAGCGGGAUGGCCAGUGAAUGGCACAUUUAAUAAGAUCAUUAUUUUACAGGUUAAAGAUCGGGUCGUCCACGGACAUCCUGACCAGGUUUCUUAUAUUAUCACUUGAGAGAGUCUCGCCUUAACCCCCCCCCCCGGGCGGAACCCUUCGUGGACCCAAAUUGGCCUCCCCUCAACCCCCAGUCUGUCCCCUCUGCCCCGCCCGGUCCGCCGGCCACGUCUUCCUCUCUCUACCUUUGUGAAAUCAGAGCCUUCUAAGAAACCUGUCCUCCCGGCAGACCCAAACUCCCCUCUCAUAGAUCUUCUCUCUGACAGGCCCGGCUAAAACGGAGGAGGCAGAGCCGCCGGCCAGAUCAGUUGCCGGGCCACAGUCUGAUAAGGGUUUCUCCCCUGUCGCAGGGAGAUUGCGCAAUAAGUGCGA